CGCAAUAAGGAAGAGAAGUCAGUAGCAAUAAUAGAACUCAGCAACAGUUUAGAAGGAGUUUCAAGACCCAAGGAUUGUUACAAAGCAAAGCAAAACUAGUAAUUCAGUCAACAUAGCUUGAAGAAACCCAAAUAAACUUGAAAUCAAACUCAGGAGCACUGGGAACUCAAAUUAACACUAAUAUUGAAGUCAACUCUAGAAAGAGUUCAAUAUAACAAUAUUUGUGGAUUUAGAUGCUGGAAAUUUUCUGGGGAAUUUUUCAAAUUCCAAACUUGCAUAUUUUUCUAGAUUUUUAACCUCUCAAAAACUUUUGCAGUAGCACCCUUGUUUUCGGG
rnacentral:lncRNA from 1 species